UUAACGCCAACAGCGGCUAAAUAUUCACCUACACUCGCUUACUUAACGCUUUCUUUAAUAUGCUAAUUUUACCUGCCAAUUUCCCUAGCUCCUCCUUUCAUUAAAUCGAUGUACAGGCAGUUUGAUGCAACAACAUCACAAUUGAAAAUGGCUAGAAGGAACUUCCAUUUUGUUGUUUCUCCGUGCUUCCAGCAACAAUCGCAGCAGUACUGUAAUGGAUUGCUUCAUGAAUGCUGUCUCCAACGGACCAUGGAGGAGAAAACAACACUGUCUGCUUGUUGAAUACUACUUCUACAAACGAGGCUACACUUGUGGCAGCACCUAUUCCUGUGCCCCCACAUCUUCUGCACCACUUCUUGUGGCCCCCUCCACCUAUACCACUUCCUGUGGCCUCCCCUCCACCAUUCCCUGAGGCUUAUCGUCCACCUUCACCACACUCUUUUGUUGAUGUUGGUGAUGACAAUGAUGUUGACCUCCAAACCAUGUUGAAGUUAAUGAGAUGCCAACGAAAUUAAUGCGAUGAGGGACAGCGUUUAUGAUUGUGCAAUGAGAGGCUUUAAGAGAGCCCGCUUUAAUCCGGAGGUAAAAAUAGACAUGAUUUUUAAGGACGCUGACGGAAAAGGGGCAGCUGAUGAGGGUGGUCCAUCGAGAAUCUCUCCGGCUGCUAAUGAGUGCCAUCCAUUCCUCUGGAGUCUUUGAGGGACCUGAUUGGCAAAAAUGCCUUUCUUGCAACUCUCAAGCACUCUAUGAUGGCGUAUACAAACAGGUGGGCCCCAUGACUGCUGUCUGUCUGGUACAUGGGGGUGUAGAGACACAUUUUUUCAGAGAGGCUAUACAGGCAAGUGUGUGGCCUACAACCUCCUGUGCCAGAACUGAAAGAAAUUGCGGAAUAUGACUUCAGAGAGAAGUUGGAGAAGGUAAGUAACUUUAUACUGUGAUGGAUGUUGUUACUGUUAAUUAGCACUAAGUUU